AUUGAACGCUGGCGGCAUGCCUAACACAUGCAAGUCGAACGGCAGCACAGCCCGCAAGGGUGGGUGGCGAGUGGCGGACGGGUGAGGAAUACAUGGGAAUCUACCCUGUCGUGGGGGAUAACGUAGGGAAACUUACGCUAAUACCGCAUACGACCGAGAGGUGAAAGCGGCGGACCGCAAGGCGUCGCGCGGCUGGAUGAGCCCAUGUCGGAUUAGCUAGUUGGCGGGGUAAAGGCCCACCAAGGGGACGAUCCGUAGCUGGUCUGAGAGGAUGAUCAGCCACACUGGAACUGAGACACGGUCCAGACUCCUACGGGAGUCAGCAGUGGGGAAUAUUGGACAAUGGGCGCAAGCCUGAUCCAGCAAUGCCGCGUGGGUGAAGAAGGCCUUCGGGUUGUAAAGCCCUUUUGUACGGGAAGAAAUCCUGUCGGUUAAUACCCGGCGGGGAUGACGGUACCGUAAGAAUAAGCACCGGCUAACUUCGUGCCAGCCGCCGCGGUAA
rnacentral:rRNA from 1 species